rnacentral:rRNA from 1 species
AGAGUUUGAUCAUGGCUCAGGAUGAACGCUAGCGGGAGGCCUAACACAUGCAAGCCGAGCGGUAGAUUACUUUCGGGUAAUUGAGAGCGGCGUACGGGUGCGGAACACGUGUGCAACCUGCCUUUAUCAGGGGGAUAGCCUUUCGAAAGGGAAGAUUAAUACCCCAUAAAUAUAUUAUUCGGCAUCGGGUGAUAUUGAAAACUACGGUGGAUAGAGAUGGGCACGCGCAAGAUUAGCUAGUUGGUGAGGUAACGGCUCACCAAGGCGACGAUCUUUAGGGGGCCUGAGAGGGUGAUCCCCCACACUGGUACUGAGACACGGACCAGACUCCUACGGGAGGCAGCAGUGAGGAAUAUUGGACAAUGGGUGGAAGCCUGAUCCAGCCAUCCCGCGUGCAGGAAGACGGCCCUAUGGGUUGUAAACUGCUUUUAUCUGGGGAUAAACCUACUUACGUGUAAGUAGCUGAAGGUACCAGAAGAAUAAGCACCGGCUAACUCCGUGCCAGCAGCCGCGGUAAUACGGAGGGUGCAAGCGUUAUCCGGAUUUAUUGGGUUUAAAGGGUCCGUAGGCGGACUGAUAAGUCAGUGGUGAAAUCCGACAGCUUAACUGUCGAACUGCCAUUGAUACUGUUAGUCUUGAGUAAGGUUGAAGUGGCUGGAAUAAGUAGUGUAGCGGUGAAAUGCAUAGAUAUUACUUAGAACACCAAUUGCGAAGGCAGGUCACUAAGUCUUAACUGACGCUGAUGGACGAAAGCGUGGGGGAGCGAACAGGAUUAGAUACCCUGGUAGUCCACGCCGUAAACGAUGAUUACUCGUUUUUGGGUUUUAUGAUUCAGAGACUAAGCGAAAGUGAUAAGUAAUCCACCUGGGGAGUACGUUCGCAAGAAUGAAACUCAAAGGAAUUGACGG